GGUUUGUAGCUCAGUGGUAGAGCGCUUGCCUCAUACACAUAAGGCACUGGAUUCAAUCCUCAGCACCA
rnacentral:tRNA from 1 species